GAGUUUGAUCGUGGCUCAGGAUGAACGCUGGACGGCGUGCCUAAUACAUGCAAGUCGGAGCGAACAGACGAGGAGCUUGCUCCUCUGACGUUAGCGGCGGACGGGUGAGUAACACGUGGAUAACCUACCUAUAAGACUGGGAUAACUUCGGGAAACCGGAGCUAAUACCGAAUAAUAUAUUGAACCGCAUGGUUCAAUAGUGAAAAACGGUUUUGCUGUCACUUAUAGAUGGAUCCGCGCCGCAUUAGCUAGUUGGUAGGGUAACGGCUUACCAAGGCGACGAUGCGUAGCCGACCUGAGAGGGUGAUCGGCCACACUGGAACUGAGACACGGUCCAGACUCCUACGGGAGGCAGCAGUAGGGAAUCUUCCGCAAUGGGCGAAAGCCUGACGGAGCAACGCCGCGUGAGUGAUGAAGGUCUUCGGAUCGUAAAACUCUGUUAUUAGGGAAGACAAAUGUGUAAGUAACUAUGCACGUCUUGACGGUACCUAAUCAGAAAG
rnacentral:rRNA from 1 species